rnacentral:rRNA from 1 species
AUAGGACGUCCCCUUCGGGGGCAGAGUGACAGGUGGUGCAUGGUUGUCGUCAGCUCGUGUCGUGAGAUGUUGGGUUAAGUCCCGCAACGAGCGCAACCCUUGAUCUUAGUUGCCAGCAUUCAGUUGGGCACUCUAAGGUGACUGCCGGUGACAAACCGGAGGAAGGUGGGGAUGACGUCAAAUCAUCAUGCCCCUUAUGACCUGGGCUACACACGUGCUACAAUGGACAGAACAAAGGGCAGCGAAACCGCGAGGUUAAGCCAAUCCCACAAAUCUGUUCUCAGUUCGGAUCGCAGUCUGCAACUCGACUGCGUGAAGCUGGAAUCGCUAGUAAUCGCGGAUCAGCAUGCCGCGGUGAAUAAGUUCCCGGGCCUUGUACACCCCGCCCGUCACACCACGAGAGUUUGUAACACCCGAAGUCGGUGAGGUAACCUUUAGGAGCCAUCCGCCGAAGGUGGACAAGAA